rnacentral:lncRNA from 1 species
UUUCUUUCUUCUUUCCCCUCCCUCUUUUAUUGAAGGUGAGAGAUACUGAAUUGUCAACUGUGUUUCAUGAUGGAGUGCCUUCCAUGAAGGACCUCAGUGCACCUUGCAAAUGUCAUGAGUCAUCAGAGCCCUUAUAAUGGAGGGAAGUAUCCGUGGUCACAAUUUUAUGGUUAAAGCAGCACAGGGA